GGAUAACUUACCCUUAGGACUGGGAUAACUCUGGGAAACUGGGGAUAAUACUGGAUAUUAGGCUAUGCCUGGAAUGGUUUGCCUUUGAAAUGUUUUUUUUUCGCCUAAGGAUAGGUCUGCGGCUGAUUAGGUCGUUGGUGGGGUAAUGGCCCACCAAGCCGAUGAUCGGUACGGGUUGUGAGAGCAAGGGCCCGGAGAUGGAACCUGAGACAAGGUUCCAGACCCUACGGGGUGCAGCAGGCGCGAAACCUCCGCAAUGUACGAAAGUGCGACGGGGGGAUCCCAAGUGUUAUGCUUUUUUGUAUGACUUUUCAUUAGUGUAAAAAGCUUUUAGAAUAAGAGCUGGGCAAGACCGGUGCCAGCCGCCGCGGUAACACCGGCAGCUCGAGUGGUAGCUGUUUUUAUUGGGCCUAAAGCGUUCGUAGCCGGUUUGAUAAGUCUUUGGUGAAAGCUUGUAGCUUAACUAUAAGAAUUGCUGGAGAUACUAUUAGACUUGAAGUCGGGAGAGGUUAGAGGUACUACCGGGGUAGGGGUGAAAUCCUAUAAUCCUGGGAGGACCACCUGUGGCGAAGGCGUCUAACUGGAACGAUCUUGACGGUGAGUAACGAAAGCCAGGGGCGCGAACCGGAUUAGAUGCCCGGGUAGUCCUGGCCGUAAACGAUGUGGACUUGGUGUUGGAAUGGCUUUGAGUUGUUCCGGUGCCGAAGGGAAGCUGUUAAGUCCACCGCCUGGGAAGUACGGUCGCAAGACUGAAACUUAA
rnacentral:rRNA from 1 species